UACGGGGGGGGCAAGCGUUGUUCGGAAUUACUGGGCGUAAAGGGCUCGUAGGCGGCCAACUAAGUCGGAUGUGAAAUCCCCAGGCUUAACCUGGGAACUGCAUCCGAUACUGGAUGGCUUGAAUCCGGGAGAGGGAUGCAGAAUUCCAGGUGUAGCGGUGAAAUGCGUAGAGAUCGGGAGGAAUACCGGUGGCGAAAGCGACUCUCUGGACGGCAACUGACGCUGAGGCACGAAAGCGUGGGGAGCAAACAGG
rnacentral:rRNA from 1 species